rfam:Oryza sativa Japonica Group DNA, chromosome 10, cultivar: Nipponbare, complete sequence.
AAUAAGUGCAGUUUUACACUAUUCACGUUCAACGUUUGACCGUUCGUCUUAUUUAAAUUUUUUUAUGAUUAGUAUUUCUAUUGCUAUUAGAUGAUAAAACAUGAAUAGUACUUUAUAUGUGAUUAAAUAUUUUUAAUUUUUUCAUAAAUUUUUCAAAUAAAACGGACGGUCAAACGUUCGAUACGGAUAUCCACGGCUGCACUUAUU